UAAGCUAAUAAGAAGCACUCCCCCAUGGUC
rnacentral:piRNA from 1 species